rnacentral:lncRNA from 1 species
AGCAGAAACUAAACAAUGGCACUAUGAAUGAUGACAGAGCUAUUGUCCCCCAUUCUGAGGCAAUUGCAGAGCUCCAGAGCUCUUACCACUCAGCCCUCCUUGCUGCAACUAGUGAGACUUCCAUGUCUGCCAAAUCCUCAGAGAAGCGUCAUAGCCUAUGGGUAAGUACCAAAUACUGACUGAAGAAUAGCCUCUGGUUGUAACUCUACAGCCCCCAAACAUUAUGAACUAGAAGCCUCUUGUGGCCUCUGGCUGAGGUUCUGUAAUACCAAGGAAUGUAACAAUUGUAAUGUAAUGAUCAAAAUUAGAGCCGUUGCUUACAGUUGGUAGAGUUCAGAGCAGAGUGACUGGUGCUCUUGUUGGAAGAGGAAAAGAGACGUUGAUCAGACACCUGGGAGAAGGCAAGAAUAUCCUAUGAUGGAAACAGCAGUAUAAGCCAAAGAGUGCUGAAGAUUGCUGACAACUUCAAGAAGUGAGGAACAGGCAAGGGAGUUGGAGACCUGGGACUGGGAUUUCUCUCUUCAGUGAAAACUCUCUAGCAACAUUGCCACAGGCACCCCAGAUGGGUAUGUCCAAGGUGAAUCUAAAUUCUGACAAGUUGACAAAGUUGGCCAUUGAAGAAGGAAUCUGCCCUACAUAUUUUAGGUUGAGCACAGCUUGGGCAGUACCUUGGUUUCCA